rnacentral:rRNA from 1 species
UACGGGGGGAGCAAGCGUUGUUCGGAUUUACUGGGCGUAAAGGGCGCGUAGGCGGCCUCCGCAAGUCGGUUGUGAAAUCUCCGAGCUUAACUCGGAAAGGUCAACUGAUACUGCGGGGCUAGAGUGCGGAAGGGGCAACUGGAAUUCUUGGUGUAGCGGUGAAAUGCGUAGAUAUCAAGAGGAACACCUGCGGCGAAGGCGGGUUGCUGGGCCGACACUGACGCUGAGGCGCGAAAGCUAGGGGAGCGAACGGG